UGAUCCUAGUGCACCUCCUGCCACCGUCACCUCAUGGGCGCAAGAGACCAGGAAAACUCUCAGCCAGACAAGCCAGUGAACAUCUUGUGAAGUUUGUCAAGACAGGAACCAGCAUCCAGGAGCACCUUGAUGGCAUCGCAGAAAGCCGUCAACCAUACCUGCUUGCAGUAGGGACUCAGAGGAGCGUGAUUCACAAGUACUUCAUUGUGAUUGACAAACAUGCCAUACCUUGUAAAUCACAAGGUUCUCUUGCCUGUUUUGAUGAGCUUUUUAAAGCUCACUUUGUGUUCCGCACUUCAUAUGAUCGUAAUCUGGUCAAUGUGUACAACUUUCUGCAGACCGCCAUUUAUGAGAUAGAUGUUGAGACAACCAAAGUGAAUCCUAGGGUUGCAGAGUUGAGGGCUCGGAUGCUGCGUUAAAUAGUUGUUUUGCUAUGAUUCAGUUACCAAUCAACACCAAGGUAUUAAAUGUAAAAUGGGCCAAACAUCAUGGAAAUAUGUAUCGUGCAGAUUUAGUUGUUUGUAAGGAAGUUUUUUGUGAAAUGCCAGUUUUCCAUAAGAUCUACAAUGUUGUUGUGAAAGAUGAGAGGUUACUGUUUGUUACAUUUGCUCUGCAAACAGUGUGUCUGAAUGAGCAUUUCAGUGCUUUUCAAGUUUUGUGUACAAGAGAUGGACCUCAUGUUAUUUAUGUAGAAGAGCUUUACUGUUACAGAGCUUUUGAUUUACAGGUGUCAUACAGUCAUGAAGAUGCAAAUGUUUAUAUUGUUCCAUACUGUUUCCUGUGAACAAUAAAAAUGGCUGUUCAAAUACUGA